UACGGGGGGGGCAAGCGUUGUUCGGAAUUACUGGGCGUAAAGGGCUUGUAGGUGGCCAACUAAGUCAGACGUGAAAUCCCUCGGCUUAACCGGGGAACUGCGUCUGAUACUGGAUGGCUUGAGUUUGGGAGAGGGAUGCGGAAUUCCAGGUGUAGCGGUGAAAUGCGUAGAUAUCUGGAGGAACACCGGUGGCGAAGGCGGCCCUCUGGACGGUGACUGACGCUGAGACGCGAAAGCGUGGGGAGCAAACAGG
rnacentral:rRNA from 1 species